UUAUGGUGGCGCUGGCAGGGCAGCCUUAGAGCUGGCCGGGGUCCAUACGGCCCGGGUUUCCACCCCUGUCAGUGUCACCACCA
rnacentral:antisense_RNA from 1 species